CAUAAACUGUGAUAGGCAGUGAUUAACCCAUCAAACUGGAGAAAUAUAAAGAAUCAUUAAAGUGACAAAAUACGGUGCCUUGUGAAGUUCCACGUUGCUCCAGAUUUCAGAGACAGAUGCUGCUCCGUGUACCCAGGACUUGUUUCAACUUCAGCUAAUUCAGGUCCUUUUUGCCUGGAGGAAGAUGUGGCUUCAUAGCGGAAUGGCAGCUAUUGAAAUACCAAACUUUUCACACGUACAUGUGUAUUAAUUAAUUGCAAUCAUGUAGAUACUUUCCUAACGAAGAACUGUUGUUUCCUGCAAGCAGUGAGACAAGAGCUUGCAUGACUGAGGCUGGCACACGCAGUAUUGAUGGGUUGCCAAGAAGGGUGCCGAGCAAAAUGUGCAGAAUCUGUUGGGUUGUGGGGCUGCUUCUCCCCUUCCUUCCUCAGGGUGAGCAGAAGGGGUGGACCAGGGCAGCAAGCAGGAAGGAUGCAGGUUUUGUGCUUCUCAUCUGGUCCACGUAGAUUCCAGCUGCCCGUGUACAUCACAGCAGCUGUCUGGGCCCAGCACCACAGCCCUGCAGUUUCUGCUCAGCUGAUGGCUGGUUUUGUCAGCGCAGAACUGAAAGGCACUUUGGGCACCUGAAGUCUGAGCUGCCCUCUCUGUGUCUGGCCUGUGCCCAUUGGGGUAGCUGUACCCCUAUGAUGCUGUUUGUUCAAUGUGGGAUUAGGCUAGGUUAAGCUCUUGCCUGCCCACUGCCAUGUCUUAGGAUCAUGGAAUAUCCCAAGUUGGAAGGAUCACUGAGUCCAACCCCUGGCUCCAUGCAGCACCACCCAAACCCGACGUUGCUGCCCUCCGCUCCCUGCGAGGAACUGCAGCCACCAUGGUGCCUCCCCUCAGCUCCUCUGCUCUGCACUGAGAAAACCCAGGGCCCUCACUGCUCUGCCUGCUGGGCUGCUCUGUGUUCAGUAUCCUAGGAAGGAUAUGAAUGUGGUUUUUCUUCUUUCUUUUUUGAGAUAAAAAUACCUAACAUGUGGAAUUUUGCUGUUGAUAUUGUAGAUGUUGAUAUUCUUUGUAGUUAUUCCUAUGCCAAAAUGAGUCUUGCUUUUGCCUUCACUGACUCCACCAAUGAAACUGUAAUAGCUUUUCACUUUGACCAGAGAUUCCAGUAAAAGUGGUAUAGAAAGGUUCUAGUUUUAAACCAAGAAACAAUUUCUCUGUUUCUAAUAGCACGAAGUCACAAAAAGACUCUUUAGUUUGUUAAUUGGAAGAUGAUACAGUAGGGCAUUUUGGGAUAAUAAAGGUGUGACCAGAAGAAUCUUAUUUAGUCUUGACAUCAGUUAAGAAAUCACGAUCCCAAAAAACUUGUGAUUUCUAUUUGGAAAACAGUGUUUAACAAAGGCCAAAUUAAAGGCCUUGAAUUGGAGCAUCUAUGCUAAAAAAUAGGUAUUUAUGAAAAGAAGAAGUCAAAGCCCGACUGUAAUGAUUAUGUUAAUGGGGGACAGCAGUGGAUGCACUAGCUGUAAACUGUCAAAAAGAUGUUUCACGCUUACUAGCAAAUACCCUUCAAUCAUGGUUAUGCAGCACAUAGGAAGUGACCAGGUAAGCAAGUGACAGUAAUUCAUCAAAAGGUUGAUUGCAUCUUCCUCCAAUUGCAAAGGGCUCUUUGCAUAUCUCUUCUAAGAACAGAAUUCCCCUCA